AGAGUUUGAUCAUGGCUCAGGACGAACGCUGGCGGCGUGCUUAACACAUGCAAGUCGAGCGAUGAAGCUCCUUCGGGAGUGGAUUAGCGGCGGACGGGUGAGUAACACGUGGGUAACCUGCCUCAAAGUGGGGGAUAGCCUUCCGAAAGGAAGAUUAAUACCGCAUAAAGCAAAGCUUCACAUGAAGUUUUGAUGAAAGGAGUAAUCCGCUUUGAGAUGGACCCGCGGCGCAUUAGCUAGUUGGUGAGGUAACGGCUCACCAAGGCAACGAUGCGUAGCCGACCUGAGAGGGUGAUCGGCCACAUUGGAACUGAGAUACGGUCCAGACUCCUACGGGAGGCAGCAGUGGGGAAUAUUGCACAAUGGGCGAAAGCCUGAUGCAGCAACGCCGCGUGAGUGAUGAAGGUCUUCGGAUUGUAAAACUCUGUCUUUGGGGACGAUAAUGACGGUACCCAAGAGAG
rnacentral:rRNA from 1 species